rnacentral:rRNA from 1 species
GACGGAGGGUGCUAGCGUUGUUCGGAAUCACUUGGCGUAAAGGGCGCGUAGGCGGCCUUGCAAGUCGGUUGGUGAAAGCCCGGGGCUCAACCCCGGAGGUGCGGCCGAGACUGCAGGGCUGGAGGCCGGAAGAGGAGGGUGGAAUACCCAGUGUAGAGGUGAAAUUCGUAGAUAUUGGGUGGAACACCGGUGGCGAAAGCGGCUCUCUGGUCCGGACCUGACGCUGAGGCGCGAAAGCGUGGGGAGCAAACAGG